rnacentral:rRNA from 1 species
UUAUAUUUGAGAGUUUGAUCCUGGCUCAGGAUGAACGCUGGCGGCGUGCCUAACACAUGCAAGUCGAGCGAUCUCUUCGGAGAGAGCGGCGGACGGGUGAGUAACGCGUGGGUAACCUGCCCUGUACACACGGAUAACAUACCGAAAGGUAUACUAAU